GCAUAUAUUCUCCACGCUUUCGCGAUUUUGCAACGCGCUAGAUCGUCAUAGAUCUAGUAGAGGAAUGGGUAUCACGUGCCGAUCUACGACACGCUACGGCAAUCGACCUUGAUCGACGAAACUAUGGCUUCUGCAAAUGCGGAAAUGAUAUCUGAUUCUGAGUAGUUAAUGAUCAACACAUUAUUCAUGUGCGAUAUGCAUUUACAAUAACUAUUGUUGAUUGCAAAUAUUCGAAGAAAUGUAAAGAAGCAUGUAACGGCAGCUUCCUGAUUAAUGUAUGAGAUCUAUUUCAAACAUUUCACAGAGACCGGUUGUUUACCAAUCCCUACUAACAGAAUCGCUUAGAACCAGAACGACUGCACACGUU
rnacentral:misc_RNA from 1 species